UACGUAGGGCGCGAGCGUUGUCCGGAAUUAUUGGGCGUAAAGAGCUCGUAGGCGGCCAGUUGCGUCCGCUGUGAAAUCCCGGGGCUUAACCCCGGGCGUGCAGUGGAUACGGGCUGGCUGGAGGCAGGCAGGGGAGAACGGAAUUCCUGGUGUAGCGGUGAAAUGCGCAGAUAUCAGGAGGAACACCGGUGGCGAAGGCGGUUCUCUGGGCCUGUUCUGACGCUGAGGAGCGAAAGCGUGGGGAGCGAACAGG
rnacentral:rRNA from 1 species